GCAGUCCUCGAGAUCAGCGGACGUUAAUAAAUCAUGCACGCUCUACAAGAACAGGUUCCCGCCUGGAAAUCUGUAUUUUGUUGGUUUCAAAAGCAAUCCCCGCAUGUGUUGAAAACAGCAAUGACGGAACGAAGCUAGGAAGUGCCUGGACAUGGUCCGCUGAGGGAAUUCAACAUCAAUGCAGCUCUCGGAUAUUCAAAACUACAAAAUAGAACCGGACAUCAGGCAAGGCAUUCAAGGCAUUGAGAGACGUCUUGCGUUUAAAUGCUAGAAAAAGAAAUAUAGGCCAGCCGUUGAAGAGAGAGUUGUGCAGCUUAUAAUAAUGGUCAAAUUCCUGGCCAAUUUGUGCAGAUAGGCAGUUUCCCUUAGAUUCAAAGUUUGACAAUAGAACUUCGAAAAUGAUUCUUGGUUGGCGCAAAAGACUGUACUUUAUCGAAUGAUGAAAGUGUUUGUGGACUUGCAUACAUGUAUUUAUAUGUUUGACGUUAUAUUAAUAAAGUUC